rnacentral:rRNA from 1 species
AUUGAACGCUGGCGGAAUGCUUUACACAUGCAAGUCGAACGAUGAACCUUAGCUUGCUAAGGGGAUUAGUGGCGAACGGGUGAGUAAUGUAUCGGAACGUAUCCAAUAAUGGGGGAUAACUAGUCGAAAGAUUAGCUAAUACCGCAUACGUCCUACGGGAGAAAGCUAGGGACCUUCGGUCCUGGCGUUAAUGGAGCGGCCGAUAACUGAUUAGCUAGUUGGUGGGGUAAAGGCUCACCAAGGCGACGAUCAGUAGCUGGUCUGAGAGGACGACCAGCCACACUGGAACUGAGACACGGUCCAGACUCCUACGGGAGGCAGCAGUGGGGAAUUUUGGACAAUGGGCGAAAGCCUGAUCCAGCCAUUCCGCGUGAGUGAAGAAGGCCUUCGGGUUGUAAAGCUCUUUCGCAAGGGAAGAAAACUUAAGCUCUAACAUAGCUUGAGGUUGACGGUACCUUGAUAAGAAGCACCGGCUAACUACGUGCCAGCAGCCGCCGUAA